UACGGAGGGUGCGAGCGUUAUCCGGAAUUACUGGGCUUAAAGGGUGCGUAGGCGGCUAUGUAAGUCAGAUAGUGAAAGUUUGCGGCUCAACCGUAAAAUUGCUUUUGAUACUGCAUGGCUAGAAUCAGGAUGAGGUUAGCGGAAUGUGGCAUGUAGCGGUGAAAUGCAUAGAUAUGCCAUAGAACACCAAUUGCGAAGGCAGCUGGCUAGACCUGUAUUGACGCUGAGGCACGAAAGCGUGGGGAUCGAACAGG
rnacentral:rRNA from 1 species